UCGACAACCAAAGUGACCUGAGUGCCUGCGUAGCUAGUGUUGUAUCUGGUUGGCCAUGGACAAGUACACGAUUCGCAUCCUUGCACUAGGAGCCCUAGUGUGUCUACAUCUCGUAUGCUCUGCUACUGUUGCUCAAUGCCAAAUCAUGGCUGACACCGACAGCAAGAAGAUCGAUCUACCAGACGGGCUAUGCGUUGAAAUAUCUCCUGACGGUUGUACAUACCACGAUGGUCUUUGCUUCCAUUGUUUGGUAACUGACGUCUACUACCCCACUAUGGAUGACUGCAAGAGCAAUUGCAACAAAUCCUCGUCUUUACAAGACGUGCUAGUUGCCAUGACAACCUCCCCUCCUCCUCCUUUAUCUGCUCCUUAAUUUCCGGCCCGGACAAUGGUUAUACGUACAAGAUUGUCCCCUGAAAAUAAUGCCUAUGUGCGGAAACCAGUUAUGCAAUGCGAGUAAUAUACUGCAGCAGUUGUUGCUGAGUAUUUUGGUUUGGCAAAUCACAUUUGAACCUUUACUAGGAAUUGUUGGGAGAGCGAUGAAAUGACUCGCAAGCGCAGAUGCUCCGGAAAUCUGAGUGGUACAGCUUAGCUUGGGAUCUGUGUCGGUUAAAUCUGUGUCACAUAUAUGUUUUAGAAUACAGAGGUGAAUACAUUUGCAGAUGGGCCAUUCUGGACCAUAGUACUCA